rnacentral:snRNA from 1 species
AUACUUACCUGGCAGGGGAGAUACCAUGAUCACGAAGGUGGUUUUCCCAGGGCGAGGCUUAUCCAUUGCACUCCGGAUGUGCUGACCCCUGCGAUUUCCCCAAAUGCGGGAAACUCGACUGCAUAAUUUGUGGUAGUGGGGGACUGCGUUCGCGCUCUCCCCUGCCACA